rnacentral:lncRNA from 1 species
GUUGCAUUUUGGCAUGUGGCAAUGAUAUGGACAGGAAAAGGUGUCCAAGGAGUUUGAGGUCAAUUGGGAAAAGGAAAAUAGCAGUUGCUUCACAAUGUGCCAUUUAGGGCAGAAUAGGAAAUGUAUUAUUUGAGCAUGAUGAUAAACAUGACAAAUGAAGUAUUUUGCCAUAUUUAAGAAAGAUAUGACCCAAAAAAUUUAUGAGAAUUAUUUGGGAAUUUUAGGAGUGAUGGAAAUAAAGGUUGGUUCACAACCUAGGGCAAUUUGAGUUAUUCCUUUAAUAGAAAAGGAAUAUUCCCAAUAGAAAGAAUAUUGGGAUUUGGGCUAGGAUGAAAAUGACAAGGUCUAGGGAAGGAUUUGGGUAUGACAAGCCACUUUGAAAGCAAAGAAAAGUUCAUCUUCUUCACUUUCCAGACCACAAAGCCACGGAAAAGAAAGCUCAAGCAAAAACCUCGGAAAAAAAAAGAAAAAGAAAGGGCCAAAAAUCAGGCUGUUACAAACCUUACCCCCUUAAAGAAAUCUCGUCCUCGAGAUUUGGUUGCUCACGAACAAGUAUGAAGAUACUGACUUAAGGAAACCGUUUCCAACUCGGGUAUCCUUUUUCUUAUUUUUGUUCCCACUAAAUUUUUAUCUGACUGGCCCUGGGGUGGUUUGCUUUAAUAUAUCCAUAUUCUAACAGAUCUUACCUUGCUUGUUCAUGCUUAUACAGGCUCCAAUUUCGUUUUAGAUCUACUGACUUAGCUAACUGUGAUUAAUUCUCACGACUGAAAUAUAUGUCGGUCUCACAAAUCCAAGAGUGAUUUCCGCUGGGUGUGUCAUCCGGCACUGACAAUCUUUUCAUGAAGUGGUGAUCAGAUUUUUCUAGUGGACACCCAAGCUCUAACUCCUUGCAUUGGGUUUCUCCACUAAAUGCACGUCCUUCGGGUUCCAAACAGUGAGUUGGGUCAUAACCGCUUUCCUGACAGAUUCUGGCUUAUCGCAGAAGUUUCUGAAUCAUCUUAACUGGUUCCACUGUCUUGAGUAUCGGAUCCGUACCAAAUAUUUGAUUGUCGCCUGCAUCACUGGUCUUGCUCCUUCAUUAUUGUUUCCUUGGCCUGGAUCCUUGGCUGAAAGAGCUGGGUCAUAUUGCUUCUUCGUAUCACCAUAGGUAUUGUUGGUGCAAUUUUUCGGCAAUCGCAGCUUAUCCUCAUUUUUCUGACAGGGUACCCCAUUAAAUGACAGGUUCAACACCCCUCAAGUUCUGACCGCAGGAAAAUGAUCAUCCGAACCUUUGCAAGAAAUCGGCAAAUAAAUCAGUAACCACCUGAACGGUCUUUACAACUCAGAUCUGGGACAUUACUGAAAUAACUCAACCACGGCUCAAGACGGCCGAAAAGCAGCUCAGAACAUGAGACCGGGUUGAUAAGAAGAUGGUGGCAGCUCCCUAAAAUAGCCAAAAAGCAGCUAUAGGGCUACUGUCACAAAAAGAAACUCAAUAGAUGUACGAGAUGGCCGAAAAGCAGCUCAGAACUCGUGACAGUCGUUCAAGAGAGAAAUAAAAAUCGGCAUCCACCCCGGAUAGCUAAAAACAGCUUAGAUCACAGGCGCGGUGCCGUCAUUGGAGAAAAGGGGGACAAGGGCUCAUCAGGAUCAUUUUCCAGGUUCACAUGUACUUGCAUUGAGCUCAUUGAUGUCGUCAAUCCUCAUAAUCCUUUGUCACACUGCGCUGUAUACUGGCUUUCUUCUCUUAACCAUCCUCACGUGGUUGUCAGAUCCUCAUCCGAGUGACUUGUAAGAUCUUGGUGGUAUGCUCACCGCAUAUAUAUGAGAAUCUGAUUCCCGAGACAGACGUGUAUUCUGACUGAUUCUUGCUUCUGACCAAAAUGUUGUGGAUCUGAUUCUUGGGAUUCACUGCCAUAUGCUAUCAAUUCACAGCGUACUACCCUGUACCAAUGUCUUACUGAGGAAGAUUGGCUGGCUUGUGCUCGAAACUUUCAUCGGACAGCUUGCUGAAGAAGACUGGUAUCGUGCUUCAGAAGCUUACCCCCUUAAAGACUUUGCUGGGGAAAGACUCAGUACCUUAUGCUAGAAGCUUUUGCGGUUGCUUACUGAAGAAGGCAGAGUACCUUGUACGGGAAAUCAUCCGUGUAUCGUACAGAGGAAGAUAGAUGAAUCUUGCCUUGGAAGCUUCUCGGGUAUCUUGCGAGGGAAGAUUGGGUUGCUUACACCAGAAGCUUCUUAUUGUGAUAUGCGGACCGAUUUCCACAUAUAUAACCAUCUUAAAAAUUUUGUUAUGAAUUUCUUGUAUGAAACGGGGUUUUGCAGCACUAUCCCCCUUUCUGAGUACAUGCCAUAUUUGCUUGCUUCCAGGUACAUCGGGUUCCAAAAUCAUCCUCAACGAAAAAUUAAACUUGUUUCUGAGCCAUACCUUUGAUAAUAUUCUAUCAACCUUGCACACAAUUUUAUCUUCUUGCUGAUUUGGUCAUUUCUUCUAUGAGGAGUGCACGCUGAGAGAGACUUGACACUCAGUAACAUGAUCAGAUAUUCCCUAAUCUUCCAUCCAGGAUUUCUUUUGUAUUCAGACGAGCUAUUUCCAAUUUCACUCCAGUCUGCUGACAAUUCCAUUCUGUUUAGCUGAGUUUCCAAAUAUAUGCAUUUCUUGCUGACUCUUCGGGUUUGGUGUUGGCUGACGAGCAACUUUAAUAGGGGAAAAUUUGUAACACCGAAGGCCCAAAGAAAGAAACAAAAGAAACGACUAGAACAAAAGCACCCAAGCAUACUACUAAUAUAAUUAAUCAAGCAAUCAUCACAUAUUACUGCUUCUCACACCAUAAUAUGCAUGCACACCUAAGCACACAAAUCGCGCGGAAACUCCGAUAUUACGGUCUAAUAUGCCGUGGCGGUGUGCACGAAAAUUAUAUCCCUGUGUGGAAGGAGUUGGCGUAACCGAAGCUACACCAAGCACUAGCUGAACAGUGGCUGGAUCUGGAUGGAUACACAGGUGAGAACGGACUUGACGAUCAAGUAGCGAGACACAAAAGUCACGACCACCUCAUCAUCAAGCAUACGAAGGGAAUCAUACCCGUCCAAAGAAUGAAAUGACAUGGCAAGAUAACAGUGGAAGACUGGGUUUAAUGGCAUUGCCCUUUUCUGAUAACAAAGAUCAGCAAGGGUUGCCAAAAGAACGAGAUGGAGGGCAUGGAUGAUGAUGUGGUCGCAUCACACCGAGGAGCAGGCAUGCUAAGAAAGAUGGUGCAGGCGGUGGACAAAAAACGAUGCCACCUACACUCACAAGAUUAACCGUUAGUGACAAAAUAACAAUCUAUAUGCAUGCUAUGCGACAAACAAAUGCAACAAUCAAGUGGAACAAACCAAUGGGGUCUAUUCUACCGCUUUCUAACGUUCGCGCGGGCUAAGGCAUCCUACAGUCAGACCUGCUAUGAUAACAAGCCUGUGGCACCCCGGCUCAGAGAAAACCGGAACGUCCCGUAUUCCAGCCCAGAGAUCGAGGAGAAGUCUUAUGGAAUACGGCACUGCUUAGCAUAGAACAAACCAGCUUUCUAUUAUUACACGAAUGUGAAUACAAGGUCUCCAAUAUUACAAUGAAUAACAUCGGCACGGCGACACUACGCCAUCCUCAGUUGCUCUAUGCAAGCAGCAGAACAACUCGAAGCAGCGGAAAAACUACUGGCAGCGGAACAACGACGACGGUGGUGAACUCCCUUCCGCAGGGACUCUGGCUGGAACGCUUAUCCUAGCUCGCGAACACUGGAACAACACCAAACAAGCAAGCAAUCCAGACACGACCUGCAAGCUGGCAUGACACGCUAGGUCAGUAUAUUGAAUGUACUUGUAAGCUCACAAUAACCAGAAGCAUUCAAGACAAACAUCAGCAUGGCAUUUACAGGUUAAGCAGGAAUUAUCAUGAGAUCAUCAGGAUAACAUGGCAUGAACAACCUGAACAUAAUACUGCUAGAACAAUAUGAGCAUGGCAUGAACAUCUAAAUCUGCCAAUACUAGCAUGCAACAUGAUGACACUACAUGCACUAUUUAUUCUGCUCGGACUACCAUCACAUGCAUCACUUACCAACCUCGGACAUCACACGAUCAUCUCAAGAUCAAAUCAAGCUUGGUAUAAACAAUACCGUAGUAAUCAUUAAAUGACCACAAGGAGCUUGAUCUUUACCCAUGAUUCUCGCACAACAUCACGAAUAUCCAACAACUCGGUAUCCUCGAUACCACGGUGAUCAUUCCGGCGAUCACAACCAUGACCAACACUGGGUCUCAAUCGGUGAUCUUUCCGGCGAUCACAACCAACUUAUCUCAUCAUCGAACCGGGGUUGUUAUUAUGCACAUUUUUAUUAAUACUGUUGACUCACGGUGUGACCGACACGAACUGGGCCGUUAUCCGGGGGCGCGGCUAUCGAUAGAUUUAAUAUACACUCUACAGAGGUUAGUACACUGUACCCACACCACGGAACCCAUGGCCUCGCACUCCCAUUCGGGUGGACCAACGGCGUUCCGACAAAACCGAUCUAUUGUCAUGACACUCUCCCGGCCACUCCGACCCACUCCCAACUGGGCUAGUCCUGGGUGGCCCCGUGUCUACCAAAGACACAACGACCACCUCGUGGCCAAACGUCCCUCACGGGGACCGGAUCCACAAAAAUAACAACAACGGGCACAUAAGGUUAUGUCUGCUUACCUGAUCAGGGUACGCACGCCCAUAACCUUCCCUGGUUGGAGGCACCGGCGAGAGACACGACAAUAGACCCAGUUAGGACCUUCCCAUAAAGGUAAGUGUGGUUGCACUGGUCAGUUUCGAUAUGGUGGCACCAUGACUCAGCCAACAGUUGUUCAAGUUCAAUUUAAUCCGGUUAAACUUGAAUGCAAUAUGUUGAGCCAUGAUAAAAUAACAUGAUACAUAUACAAAGCAUGAGCAUGAUAUCAACAUAAGCACGGGAUGCAACAUAACUAUCCACCAUAUCAACAAUGGGUAAUCUCCAACUGAACAUGGCAUAAUGACCAGCAUAAAUAUUACAAGUGCAACAUUACUCAUAUCAUAACAUGACCAUUAGCAUCAACCAUAAAUACUAUGCGAGAACUUGUCAGUAACAUUAAGGAGUAACACUUAACCAACUAACAGCAAAGGAACAAUGCAUAUUAACAGUACUCGGUAACCGACGUUAAUCAUGCACCAAAGAACGAGACCAACCCAACAUGUACUAAUAUCAAGCAUGGAAAUAUGAAAGUAAUACUAGCAACUAGCAGGGCACGAUAACCAGGUGCAUAACAACAUAGCAAGCAAGUAAGCACUAACCCAGAAGCAUUACCGAAACAACGAUAACCAUAUUUUAAACAAGCAAUCAUUUGAUAAAUAUUCCAAGUUGAAAACCAUGGCUACUGCAUGACUAUCAUGCAAGUGGGUAUUGUGGCUUGCCUGGGGAUGAAGAAGGCACCGGGGAGAAGUGCGGUGAAGCCGCGGAAAGAUUUGCCGGAAACAGUUCUCUCUCGGAGGGGCUGUUUACGUGCAAGGGCAAAAAGGUCAUUUUCACAGUGUCAAACCAUAGUGAAAAUGAUACCAAAAGUUCGGUCUCGAAGAGACGAAGAUGUGGGCGUUGGAUUCACCUCAAUCGGAGUUGUGAGUAAAAAGAUAUGAAUGUUUUUCUGCCAGGGAUCUUUCUGUAAUAGAAUCAUCACAAACAGGUCCUUGGCUGGAAAAACCGAACGUGCCUUUUCAGAAGAUACGUUUUCCAGAGAGGAAAACGUACUCUGGUCCGAAGGAGAGGAGAAUACGCCUUUGGUGGAUGAAAGCGUACACAGGCAAAGCCCGUGUCCACUUAUCCACCUCAGCCGGGGGCGGGGCCGGGCUCCAGGGUCGCUUACAGGUGGGUCCCGCACCCUUUUCUCUCUCCUCCCUCGCUCAUUCUUCUUCCUCCUCGCCGGGGUGCUGGGCAGAGGCGAGGCCGGCCGCCCCGACGACGAUAGCCGGCGGCACGGUCCACCAUUCGGGGCGCCCGACCUACUGGCGUGAUCAGCAGGACGAGGUGGCCCCCUUCAGGUAGGUCACGGCCACCGACGAGCUUGGAAGAGCACGAGAGGCCAGCCGCGGCGGACUACAGCUUCGGCCAAAAGUGAAGAUGCGGCCAUGGCGACUCCGGCAACAAGACGAAGGGGUAGAAAGGUGCUCCGGUGGUGGUUUGGCCUUCUGGUGGUGAAGAGAUGGAGGAAGAGGCGUCGACUCGCUCGGAUUUGAGCGGAGCCAAACGGCGGCCAUGGUGGCAAUGGAGGUCGAGGAGGGGCUCUGGUGCUCGGGGAAGUGGACGGGGAGGGGCAGAGGAGUGCGGGGAGGCCAAUGGUGUGCUCGAACGGCUCGGGGGAGGGCUUAAAUAGCCAGCGGGAAGGAGGUCGAGCUGGCACCGCCGCGGACGCGUGUCCGACGCCGCGGACCCGUGCCCACACGCAUGAGCUCGGAGGGAGGCGACGAGCGAGGGACAAGAGGAGAAGAAGCCGAACGCCAUAAAUGCCCGGUCGGCACUGUGUGCUCGUGGACGCGUGGCGGCUUGCGUUAGUGAGGAAGCGGACGGAGGGGGAGAGGGGUCCAGGUGAUCGGCGACGAGGAGGUGAAGCCAAGGGGCAUGCUCACGCGCGCUAAGACGACGAAAGGAGGAGGGGCCCGAGCACAAAUGACGUUCUGGCCGCGCACACUGCAUGCCAAAGCGGUGGUCACCACCAAUACUGGCAUGUGUGGGAGGCAAACAGCUGGAAAAUGAUGUCUAGGGGUUGGUCCUUCCUGGGGCGGUUGCAACUGAGGUGGUAGCGCGGUGAAAUCUGCUCUGGUUAAAAGGUAAGCAACCUCUGAAGCUUACUGCAGUAAACUUGAUUAACUAAGUGUGAUCAACAGAGAGAUGCUAUGGGUCAAAUGUUAUGGCUGGGGUGUUUAGGCUCGGAAGGACUAUAGUCCUGGGGAAUUUGAGGAGAUUUGGAUCAAGUUUUAAUGCAGUUGCUUUGCAACUGACCAAAAUGGUCCAGAAACUUGAUCAACAUGAUGCACUCACAUGGAGUGUCAAAUUAAGCUCAAAUUGGGCAAGGCAGGGUCAUUUGGUCCAAUGAAGAUGCUCAAAAAGUCUCAUACCAAUUGGCCAAGCCAAACUGGUACUUGCUUCAAAAACAUCUCCUCUGCACAGAAACUUGCAAAAAUUCUAGAGGAAUAAUGGCUUGAUGAAACAUGCCCAAAAUGGGUGGAGGUAGGUUAUAUGGAUAAUAGAAGGCCUAGAAAAAGUGGCAGCCAUAAUGGAGCAAGAUAAAAUAUACUUGCUUCACAAACUGAAAUUUUGGACAGAAUCAAAGAAUUGAAGAUGAGCUCACAUGGAGGCAUGACAUGAGCUCUACUUUGGUGGAGGGCUAUGAUAUGAUGAUAUGAGGGACCAUGCAAAAUGGCAACUCAUUUGGAUAUGCCUAGCUUGCACCUCCUUCACAAAGCUUCUUUCUGGAUAGAAACUUUGGAAAAUCAUAAUUAAAUAAUUACUAGGCAAAUGAGGUUGCAUUUUGGCAUGUGGCAAUUAUAUGGACAGGAAACGGUGUCCAAGGAGUUUGAGGUCAAUUGGGAAAAGGAAAAUAGCAGUUGCUUCACAAUGUGCCAUUUAGGGCAGAAUAGGAAAUGAAUUAUUUGAGCAUGAUGAUAAACAUGACAAAUGACAUAUUUUGCCAUAUUUAAGAAAGAUAUGACCCAAACAAUUUAUGAGAAUUCUUUGGGAAUUUUAGGAGUGAUGGAAAUAAAGGUUGGUUCACAACCUAGGGCAAUUUGAGUUAUUCCUUUAAUAGAAAAGGAAUAUUCCCAAUAAAAAGAAUAUUGGGAUUUGGGCUAGGAUGAAAAUGACAGGGUCUAGGGAAGGAUUUGGGUAUGACAAGCCACUCUGGAAGCAAAGAAAAGUUCAUCUUCUUCACUUUCCAGACCACAAAGCCACGGAAAAAGAAAACUCAAGCAAAAACCUCAAAAAAUAAAAGAAAAAGAAAGGGCCAAAAAUCAGG